rnacentral:rRNA from 1 species
GAUGAACGCUGGCGGCGUGCCUAAUACAUGCCAGUCGAGCGAACAGACGAGGAGCUUGCUCCUCUGACGUUAGCGGCGGACGGGUGAGUAACACGUGGAUAACCUACCUAUAAGACUGGGAUAACUUCGGGAAACCGGAGCUAAUACCGGAUAAUAUAUUGAGCCGCAUGGUUCAAUAGUGAAAGACGGUUUUGCUGUCACUUAUAGAUGGAUCCGCGCCGCAUUAGCUAGUUGGUAAGGUAACGGCUUACCAAGGCAACGAUGCGUAGCCGACCUGAGAGGGUGAUCGGCCACACUGGAACUGAGACACGGUCCAGACUCCUACGGGAGGCAGCAGUAGGGAAUCUUCCGCAAUGGGCGAAAGCCUGACGGAGCAACGCCGCGUGAGUGAUGAAGGUCUUCGGAUCGUAAAACUCUGUUAUUAGGGAAGAACAAAUGUGUAAGUAACUAUGCACGUCUUGACGGUACCUAAUCAGAAAGCCACGGCUAACUACGUG